GCUACAACAGAAAAGAGCUACGAGUCUCUUCAUUUGAGCAACCUAGUACCACAGCUGCCCGGGUCGUCAGUUCAACACGCGAUCUACUCAUAACAAACGACUUGACUCCAAUAAGUUCAGUGUUGACUUCCUCGGUGAGGGUGAACUUCCUACGUCAGCAUCAGCAGACGAUGAACUGGGCGGAUGAGUAACAAGAGACGACCAGAAAAUAAGACGAAAGAAGAUGCCAGCGGCGGUAAAAGCAAUAAAAUUUGAUGAAAAUUACCAAGUAGCUUGAACUUGAAGUCUUCAUUCAUAGAGGCACCUCUGCGCGGGUCACCGGUUCGACACCAGAUCUAUUCAAACCACUUAAGAAGCUACAACAGAAAAGAGCUACGAGUCUCCUCAUUUGAGCAACCUAGUACCACAGCUGCCCGGGUCGUCAGUUCAACACGCGAUCUACUCGUAACAAGUGAAUAUUUACUUAUCUCCUCACUCACUACUCACUCACUCACUACUCACUCACUUAU